rnacentral:sRNA from 1 species
GUUUAUUUUUGAAAGUAAAAAGCGUAACAAGGUUUCCGUAGGUGAACCUGCGGAAGGAUCAUUACCGAGUGCGGGCCCUCGUGGCCCAACCUCCCACCCUUGUCUCUAUACACCCGUUGCUUUGGCGGGCCCACCGGGGCCACCUGGUCGCCGGGGGACGUUCGUCCCCGGGCCCGCGCCCGCCGAAGCGCUCUGUGAACCCUGAUGAAGAUGGGCUGUCUGAGUACUAUGAAAAUUGUCAAAACUUUCAACAAUGGAUCUCUUGGUUCCGGCAUCGAUGAAGAACGCAGCGAAAUGCGAUAAGUAAUGUGAAUUGCAGAAUUCCGUGAAUCAUCGAAUCUUUGAACGCACAUUGCGCCCCCUGGCAUUCCGGGGGGCAUGCCUGUCCGAGCGUCAUUUCUGCCCUCAAGCACGGCUUGUGUGUUGGGUGUGGUCCCCCCGGGGACCUGCCCGAAAGGCAGCGGCGACGUCCGUCUGGUCCUCGAGCGUAUGGGGCUCUGUCACUCGCUCGGGAAGGACCUGUGGGGGUUGGUCACCACCAUAUUUUACCACGGUUGACCUCGGAUCAGGUAGGAGUUACCCGCUGAACUUAAGCAUAUCAAUAAGCGGAGGAAAAGAAACCAACCGGGAUUGCCUCAGUAACGGCGAGUGAAGCGGCAAGAGCUCAAAUUUGAAAUCUGGCCCCUUUGGGGUCCGAGUUGUAAUUUGCAGAGGAUGCUUCGGGUGCGGUCCCCGUCUAAGUGCCCUGGAACGGGCCGUCAUAGAGGGUGAGAAUCCCGUCUGGGAUGGGCGGCCGCGCCCGUGUGAAGCUCCUUCGACGAGUCGAGUUGUUUGGGAAUGCAGCUCUAAGCGGGUGGUAAAUUUCAUCUAAAGCUAAAUACUGGCCGGAGACCGAUAGCGCACAAGUAGAGUGAUCGAAAGAUGAAAAGCACUUUGAAAAGAGAGUUAAACAGCACGUGAAAUUGUUGAAAGGGAAGCGUUGUCCACCAGACUCGCCCGGGGGGGUUCAGCCGGCACCUGUGCCGGUGUACUCCUCUCCGGGCGGGCCAGCAUCGGUUUGGGCGGCUGGUGAAAGGCCCCCGGAAUGUACCACCCUUCGGGGUGUCUUAUAGCCCGGGGUGGCAUACAGCCAGCCUGGACCGAGGCCGCGCUUCAGCGAGGAUGCUGGCGUAAUGGUGGUCAACGGCCCGUCUUGAACACGGACCAAGGAUCUACAUCUAUGCAAAUGUUCGGGUGCAAACCCUCCCGCCAUGAAACAAACGGAGUGGGAGCCCUUCGGGGGACAUCUACCAACCUA